GAAAGAGUAUAUAAAUGAAAUGUUCCCCAUAAUGAUUCGAUAUUUUACUGCAGCAUUUCAUUCAUAAUGGCGAUCCAAUCUAUUAUCAGUCAUCUAUUUAUUUCAAUAUUUAUUUUCAUGUUGCUGCAAGACGUUGUGAUGUCCGAGAGAGAGUCAAGUUCCAGAGGAUUGAGCGAAACAAUUAACAACUUAAUGCAGAGUCUGGGAUUAGGAGGCAACAACCGAUAAGUAAUAACCCAGUGAACAAAUGAAGAACCGAUGAAUAACCACAUUAUGAACUACAAUUAGUCACUUUGUUUUCUAUUCCAAUUAAAUAUUUAGUAUUGACA